ACUCAAAGGAAUAGACGGGGGCCCGCACAAGCGGUGGAGCAUGUGGUUCAAUUCGAUGCAACGCGAAGAACCUUACCUGGUCUUGACAUCUCGGGAAUCUCCCUGAAAGGGGAGAGUGCCUUCGGGAACCCGAAGACAGGUGCUGCAUGGCUGUCGUCAGCUCGUGUCGUGAGAUGUUGGGUUAAGUCCCGCAACGAGCGCAACCCUUGUCUCUAGUUGCCAGCGGUUCGGCCGGGCACUCUAGAGAGACUGCCGGUGUCAAACCGGAGGAAGGUGGGGAUGACGUCAAGUCCUCAUGGCCUUUAUGACCAGGGCUACACACGUGCUACAAUGGUCGGUACAAAGGGCAGCGACACCGCGAGGUGAAGCAAAUCCCAAAAAGCCGACCCCAGUACAGAUUGCAGUCUGCAACUCGACUGCAUGAAGGUGGAAUCGCUAGUAAUCGCGGAUCAGCACGCCGCGGUGAAUACGUUCCCGGGCCUUGCACACACCGCCCGU
rnacentral:rRNA from 1 species